GUCCACGCCGUAAACGAUUGAUGCUAGCCGUCGGCAAGCUUGCUUGUCGGUGGCGCAGCUAACGCAUUAAGCAUCCCGCCUGGGGAGUACGGCCGCAAGGUUAAAACUCAAAGGAAUUGACGGGGGCCCGCACAAGCGGUGGAGCAUGUGGUUUAAUUCGACGCAACGCGAAGAACCUUACCAGCCCUUGACAUGUCCGGACGGUUUCCAGAGAUGGAUUCCUCCUAGCAAUAGGUCGGAACACAGGUGCUGCAUGGCUGUCGU
rnacentral:rRNA from 1 species